rnacentral:rRNA from 1 species
GGAAUAUUGCACAAUGGGCGCAAGCCUGAUGCAGCGACGCCGCGUGCGGGAUGAAGGCCUUCGGGUUGUAAACCGCUUUCAGGAGGGACGAAAAUGACGGUACCUCCAGAAGAAGCCCCGGCCAACUACGUGCCAGCAGCCGCGGUAAUACGUAGGGGGCGAACGUUGUCCGGAUUUAUUGGGCGUAAAGGGCUCGUAGGCGGCUUGACAAGUCGGUCGUGAAAACCCGGGGCUCAACCCCGGGACGCCGGUCGAAACUGUCAUGGCUAGGGUCCGGUAGAGGUGAGUGGAAUUCUCGGUGUAGCGGUGAAAUGCGCAGAUAUCGAGAGGAACACCAGUAGCGAAGGCGGCUCACUGGGCCGGUACCGACGCUGAGGAGCGAAAGCGUGGGGAGCAAAC